rnacentral:rRNA from 1 species
AGAGUUUGAUCCUGGCUCAGGACGAACGCUGGCGGCGCGCUUAACACAUGCAAGUCGAGCGAGAACCGGGACUUCGGUCCCGGGGACAGCGGCGAACGGGUGAGUAACACGUGGGUAAUCUGCCCUCGAUUCUGGGAUAGCCCGGGGAAACCCGGAUUAAUACCGGAUAGCCUUUCGAGCCUUCGGGCGCGGAAGAAAAGGUAGCUUCGGCCUCCGAUCGAGGAUGAGCCCGCGGUGGAUUAGCUUGUUGGCGGGGUAAUGGCUCACCAAGGCGACGAUCCAUAGCUGGUCUGAGAGGACGAUCAGCCACACUGGGACUGAGACACGGCCCAGACUCCUACGGGAGGCAGCAGUGGGGAAUCUUGCGCAAUGGGCGAAAGCCUGACGCAGCGACGCCGCGUGGGGGAAGAAGGCCUUAGGGUUGUAAACCUCUUUCAGGCGGGACGAAGCCACUCGGGUGAAUAGCCCAGAGGGUGACGGUACCGCCAGAAGAAGCCCCGGCUAACUACGUGCCAGCAGCCGCGGUA